AUUCAUUGUUAUAUGUUGAAGUAUUUUCACAUACCGGUACUAACUAAACAUUAUUUUCUUUGUCUUAUUAUGUUUCAGACCGGAAUGGGUAACCCAGGGAUGUCCGGACCAAAUCAUACUGGACCCUGGGGUAGCAGGCAUGGGAUGGGUGAUCCUGGCUCAACUGGGAAUGGAUUUGGCGGGGCAGGGGCAAGCUCAAGAGGGUUUGAGUCCACUGGGAUGGGUUCGAAUGGUUACAGUUUAGCACAUAUCAAUCAACACUUACGAGAGCUGCAGCAGAAUUCUAAUGCCGACUCCGGCUCAGAAGUAUCUGGGUAAUCCAUGAAAUUUCACAGAGGAAAAUGGAGGAAAACCUAUAAAACCCAGUCACCUCAUAUUGAAUUCUGGUUUGUCAAUAUACAGUACCAAUCAAAAGUUUAGACACACCUACUCAUUCCAGGGGUUUUCUUUAUUUAUUUUUUUACUAUUUUCUAUGUUGUAGAAUAAUAGCGAAGACAUCAAACUAUGAAAUAACACAUAUGUAAUCAUGUAGUAACCAUUUUUUUUUAACAAAUCAAAAUAUAUUUUAGAUUAUUCAAAGUAGCCACCCUUUGCCUUGAUGACAGCUUUGCACACUCUUGGCAUUCUCUCAACCAGCUUCAUGAGGCAGUCACCUGGAAUGCCUUCAUUUGUGGAAUUUCUUUCCUUCUUCAUGCGUUUGAGCCAGUCAGUUGUGUUGUGACAAGGUAGGGGUGGUAUACAGAAGAUAGCCCUAUUUGGUAAAAGACCAGGUCCAUAUUAUGGCAAGAACAGCUCAAAUAAGCAAAGAGAAACAACAGUCCUUCAUUACUUUAAGACAUGAAGGUCAGUCAAUGUGGAACAUUUCAAGAACUUCAUUAGAGUUACCAGCCUCAGAAAUUGCAGCCCAAAUAAAUUGACGUAACAGACACAUCUCAACAUCAACUGUUCAGAGGAGACUGUGUGAAUCAGGCCUUCCUGGUCAAAUUGCUGCAAAGAAACCAUUACUAAAGGACACCAAUAAUAAGAAGAGACUUGCUUGGACCAAGAAACACAAGCAAUGGACAUUAGACUGGUGGAAAUUUGUUCUUUGGUCUGAUGAGUCCAAAUUUUAGAUUUUUUUUCCAACCGCCAUGCUUUGUGAGACGCAGAGUAGGUGAACGGAUGAUCUCUGCAUGUGUGGUUUCCACCGUGAAGCAUGGAGGAGGAGGUGUGAUGGUGUGGGGGUGCUUUGCUGGUGACACUGUCAGUGAUUUAUUUAGAAUUCAUGCACACUUGACCAGCAUGGCUACUAUAGCAUUCUGCAGCGAUACACCAUCCCAUCUGGUUUGCACUUAGACUAUUUGUUUUUCAACAGGACAAUGACCCAACACACCUCCAGGCUGUGUAAGGGCAAUUUUACCAAUAAGGAGAGUGAUGGAGUGCUGCAUCAGAUGACCUGGCCUCCACAAUCACCCGACCUCAACACAAUUGUGAUGGUUUGGGAUGUUCGCCCGCAGAGUGAAAGAAAAGCAGCCAACAAGUACUCACCAAAUAUGGGAACUCCUUCAAGACUGUUGGAAAAGCAUUCCAGGUGAAGCUGGUUGAGAGAAUGCCAAGAGUGUGCAACGCUGUUAUCAAGGCAAAGGGUUUGAAGAAUCUCAAAUCUCAAAUGUAUUUUGAUUUGUUUAAUACUUUUUUGGUUACUACAUGAUUCCAUAUGUGUUAUUUCAUAGUUUUGAUGUCUUCACUAUUAUUCUACAAUGUAGAAAAUAGUAAAAUAAAAUAAAAACUUGAAUGAGUAGGUGUGUCCAAACUUUUGACUGGUACUAUAUGUAUGAUAUCAUUUCUACCGACAGCAGCUGCAUUGUAAUAUAUCAUAAAAGAAUAUCUGCUGCUUCAUGUAUUCCAUUUUUUUUUAAUGUUCUUGAUAACCAGCCACAAAUGUAUGUUAUUUGAAUAUGUUUAUUUAGUCAGGAGAAAGGCAUAAAAGUAGUAAAUAAGCUGUUUUUAAUGUACUGUAUAUACUUUUAUUAAAAACUAAGGAGUACUUCUUGCAAACCUGGUUCUAUGAAUUAAGUGUGCUGACUUCCAUGUUUAAGGUCGGGG
rnacentral:lncRNA from 1 species